rnacentral:rRNA from 1 species
UACGUAGGGUGCAAGCGUUGUCCGGAAUUAUUGGGCGUAAAGAGCUCGUAGGCGGUCUGUCACGUCGGCUGUGAAAACCCGAGGCUCAACCUCGGGCCUGCAGUCGAUACGGGCAAACUAGAGUACUGCAGGGGAGACUGGAAUUCCUGGUGUAGCGGUGAAAUGCGCAGAUAUCAGGAGGAACACCGGUGGCGAAGGCGGGGUCUCUGGGGCAGUAACUGACGCUGGAGGAGCGAAAAGCGUGGGGGAGCGAACAGG